GAAUAAGCACCGGCUAACUCCGUGCCAGCAGCCGCGGUAAUACGGAGGGUGCAAGCGUUACUCGGAAUCACUGGGCGUAAAGGACGCGUAGGCGGAUUAUCAAGUCUCUUGUGAAAUCCUAUGGCUUAACCAUAGAACUGCUUGGGAAACUGAUAAUCUAGAGUGAGGGAGAGGCAGAUGGAAUUGGUGGUGUAGGGGUAAAAUCCGUAGAGAUCACCAGGAAUACCCAUUGCGAAGGCGAUCUGCUGGAACUCAACUGACGCUAAUGCGUGAAAGCGUGGGGAGCAAACAGGAUUAGAUACCCUGGUAGUCCACGCCCUAAACGAUGUAUACUAGUUGUUGCUAAGCUAGUCUUGGCAGUAAUGCACCUAACGGAUUAAGUAUACCGCCUGGGGAGUACGGUCGCAAGAUUAAAACUCAAAGGAAUAGACGGGGACCCGCACAAGCGGUGGAGCAUGUGGUUUAAUUCGAAGAUACGCGAAGAACCUUACCCGGACUUGAUAUCUAACAAAUCAUCUAGAGAUAGAAGAGUGUCUGCUUGCAGAAAUGUUAAGACAGGUGCUGCACGGCUGUCGUCAGCUCGUGUCGUGAGAUGUUGGGUUAAGUCCCGCAACGAGCGCAACCCACGUCAUUAGUUGCUAACAGUUCGGCUGAGCACUCUAAUGAGACUGCCUUCGUAAGGAGGAGGAAGGUGUGGACGACGUCAAGUCAUCAUGGCCCUUAUGUCCGGGGCGACACACGUGCUACAAUGGCAUAUACAAUGAGAAGCAAUAUCGCGAGAUGGAGCAAAUCUAUAAAAUAUGUCCCAGUUCGGAUUGGAGUCUGCAACUCGACUCCAUGAAGCCGGAAUCGCUAGUAAUCGUAGAUCAGCCAUGCUACGGUGAAUACGUUCCCGGGUCUUGUACUCACCGCCCGUCACACCAUGGGAGUUGAUUUCACUCGAAGCCCAAAUACCAAACCGGUUAUGGUCCACAGUGGAAUCAGCGACUGGGGUGAAGUCGUAACAAGGUAACCGUAGGAGAACCUGCGGUUG
rnacentral:rRNA from 1 species